GAUUUGAACGCCAGUCGGUUGGUGUGUGUGAUGCGGAGAACAUCGCGGGAACACUUUCUCCGAUUUCAAACGUAAAAAUGCCUUCAAAUUUUCCGAAACAAAUCAAAACGGCUGCAGCAGAAGAGGUGACUGACCCCUCGGCCCAUGAGGUGUGAAAGCGAGAAUGAUGAGUGCCAGUCUUCAGAAUGACGAGGUGGCAGUGCCCAGUCACAUCAUGACAUCACAAUUACAUCAACAUUAUCAGGAUGAUCAGGUCACAGAUCGCCGAUACCUUACGGGAGUCGGGGGAAAUACUCUGCUGUAAAAGCAGAAAAUUUCGGGCAGUACAGUGUACAUUUUCGCUUUGUACACAAGUUCUCAGCCAAUCAGAAUCCGAUAAAUCUGUGUCGUCAUCGGGGCGUCAUCAUGAACCGCUUUUUUGAAGCAUACAGUAUCAAAAUAUACUGGAGGAAGACCAUACACAUGAGGCAGUAUCGAAAGACAAGUCUCAUUGCAGAGAAACAUAUUCAUACUGGAGGAAGACCAUUCACAUGAGACAAGUCUCAUUGUAUAUUCACACUCAAUAUAAUAUCUGAAGAACUAUCCCUUGGAUCUUGGAGAUAGGCUAUUGUUCAAGUCCUUUCUGUAGGUAGGCUAUGUUGCAGGCAGCAUAACUCAAAUAUCUAAAAUCUAAAUAACAAGGGAAAAGAAAUGCAUUAUAAAAAUAAAAUAAUUAAGAAUAAAAGAAAAAAAAAAUGUUGUCCACAACCGGAUUCGAACUCGCGACCUUUGGAUCGAACAUCGUAUUCUGCCAUUUCUGACGAGCGCUCCACCAACUGCUCUAAAGUUUCUAAGACUUCUGAUGUCAUGUAUUUGUCGAAAUCUGAUUGGCUGAAAGUCCCUGUACAAAUGUACACUAUAGUGCCCCAAAGGUUCAGGAGGAAAAACAAUUCGCGUGCCGGGCCUGUUGUAUUCUGUUGCUAUAAAUGGUUCUGUACUAGAUGCCAUGACCGCCAAUAGCUCCAGAUUAAAGUGAGUGAUAGAAUGCUUGGUUCCCGGACAUUCUAUCCCCGGCUGUAGAAACUCCCAGAAAAAGUUGUAAAUUCUACUCUAAUAAUUUAUUGUUCAAUAAAGAUAUUACAA